rnacentral:rRNA from 1 species
UACGAAGGGGGCUAGCGUUGCUCGGAAUCACUGGGCGUAAAGGGCGCGUAGGCGGAUCUUUAAGUCGGGGGUGAAAGCCUGAGGCUCAACCUCAGAAUUGCCUUCGAUACUGGAGAUCUUGAGACCGGAAGAGGUGAGUGGAACUGCGAGUGUAGAGGUGAAAUUCGUAGAUAUUCGCAAGAACACCAGUGGCGAAGGCGGCUCACUGGCCCGUAACUGACGCUGAGGCACGAAAGCGUGGGGAGCAAACAGG